AUGAGAUCAGAAAUGUGACGUCACCGGUGAAUGUUUCUCAACCAGAAUUUGAAGUCAGGAUCUCUAGCACCGUGACUGAAGCUGCCAUCGACUUCAACGACCAGGCCGUGCCGUUGACGUUAACGAUACGGUGUACUGACGGCAACCCCGUCAACGUCAUCACCGGGACUUUCAACGUCAAUAUCGUUGAUGAGGACCCAGUUCUAACGUCGUUUCCUACGACGUCAUAUCAGUUCCUAGAAGACACUUCCGUCUCCGCUCUGGAGCUAAACUCAUUCAGCCUUAAAGAUUCUGAUGACGUCAUAUCUGCUUGAUGUCAUCUGUCAAAUCUGAAAAUCAACGUCAAAGCGUUUCGGAUUUGGUACAAGGGACGCCCGCGAGCGUCCUUGAACUAUGACGUCACGCCCGUUCAUAACAUCGGGAUUAUUUGCGACGACGGUAAAGUC